AGAGUUUGAUCCUGGCUCAGGAUGAACGCUGGCGGCGUGCUUAACACAUGCAAGUCGAACGAAGCAUUAAUGCGAAUCCCUUCGGGGUGAAGCAUUUAUGACUGAGUGGCGGACGGGUGAGUAACGCGUGGGUAACCUGCCUUAUACAGGGGGAUAACAGUCAGAAAUGGCUGCUAAUACCGCAUAAGCUUACAGUACUG
rnacentral:rRNA from 1 species